CCCUUGGUGGUGUAGAUGGUUAUCGCGUUCGACUGUAAUUGAUCUUUGAUAUUGUAAAUCGAAAUGUCGCCGGUUCGAUUCCGGCCCGAGGGA